CUCGCGUCCGGUCUACCCAGCGCAACAACUGCUGCUUCGUUUUCCUGCCCUCGGACUGGACUUCGUGUGCCUCAGUUUCUCUCGUGUGCAAUGGCCGUAGCCACGCCACCCAACGUUUUCCACUUCUUAGCCCCUGUUUCGGCUUGGACUGGGAAGAUGGAUCCGAGGUAAAGCACUUGCCGCGAAAGCAUGGACACCCGUUCAGAGUGCGUGUUGACCCAGGUGUCUGCUGUCUCAGCGUACCUGUGCUGAGAUUGGAACAUCUUGGAAGCUCACGAACCAGCUAGACUGCCACAGAGUGCGCCACAGUGAGCAAGAGACUGCCUCAAACUAGGUGGGAGCUGAGGACCGACACCUAGGCUGUCUCAUCUCGGGUCUGUUUCUAGAAAACUCAACCCAAGACAGCCUCAGGACCACAGGACCCUGUGAUGACCCCAGACUCUGGUCAUCAAGACACUGGACACACAAUAUGAUGGUGACACAGAUCUGCUUUGUGGUGCUGGAAAAUCAGGCAGGACGGCUUCGAUAAGUGAGCGGGAUGGUGGUGGUCCUAUGAGAGAAGCAUCCAGAGCACCAAGACAUGAUCAAAAGUGGCCACGGACUUUCUUCUGGCUUUGGGGUAGAAGAAGGUCUCAGAGGGGUGUUUAUACCAGCACUUACCGCAGGGAGAAGAGCUGAGGAAGCUGGCCGGGGAGUAAGGAGGUCUUGCAAGACUUAGUGAGCUACACGUGCAAAGGCUCAGAGCGGAGACUGACCCAGGGAGGCCUGGUUUGGGGUGGGGCUUGGAAUCAGGUUCCACGUGGGAGAAGGGCAGGAGAUGAGGAAGGGAGCAAGCAGAAGUCAGGUCUUCUGCAGCGCUGUGAGCUGCAGUGAAGAACUUAGGUCGGAUUCUAAGACUGAUGGGAAGCCUUGGGUUUUUAAAGUAAGGAAAGCUGGUUUAAUGCAGCAGAGAAGCUUACUGUUGUUGUGGGCUAGAAGAUGCCCGGGAGUGGGUGGUGAGGGUCUGGCCAGGAGCACAGUACAGGGAGUUGGCAACUCAGUGUGGGAACAGUUGAGGAGCCAAACAGGACAAUAAGGUGACCCAUAAAGGACCAAUAGCAGGUUACCCUGGUAACCAUGGCCAGGUGGACAAUGAAGAGCCAGAGCCACCUGGCAGGAAGAACCGGGUUGCUCCUGAGUAGCAUGAGCAUGUGGCAGACCAGAUUUCAGCCUUGGGACACGAAGGGCAACACUCAGGACUCCCUGAGACAAUUGGAGAUUAUUAAGAAUUCUUGGGUCAGGCAGCGAUGGCACACACCUUUAAUCCCAGUACUCGGGAGGCUGAGGCAGGCGGAUCUCUAUGAGUUUGAGGUCAGCCUGGUCUCCAGAACGAGUUCCAGGACAGGCUCCAAAGCUACAGAGAGAAACCCUGUCUCAAAAAACCAAAAUCCAAAAAAACAAAACAAAACAAAACAAAACAAAACAAAAAUUCCUGAUUGGUCUUGGUUAAGUCACAUGACAACUCCAGAUCCAGUCUGGCUCAGGAGACAGGUUUUCUCUGUUAGACCACACCCAUUGCUCUGGAAGCUGUGACAGACAGCUUCAGUAGGUACCCUUAGAGUAGUGGGGGGCCCUUUUGAAGGGAAGUCUGAGACCAGAGUACCCACUACAGCACUCCUCAGUCCCUGUCCCCAGAUGAUUGGCAAGCACAGAGGGUUCAUGAAUGCCAGAAGGCACUGGUCCUUGUUUUAUGGGAACAGAAGAAAAAUACAACUUACCCUGUGGUCGUAGGAAAUGAGAAAACUAUAUGGAAGGGCAAUGGUGUCGGUUAAAGGAAAGGAUGACGGCGUGACCGAGGUGAGUUCCAGCCGCCCGGGAGGUGGGCGCUGGAUUCCAGCCGAGGAAGGGUGAACUAGCCGCAGGUGUUGGGUUUUGCGCUGAGCAGAUGGACCCACAGUCCCUUCUGGACGAGGCCUUGUUCCUGGGAGGUGAUUUCUUUACUGUCCUUACUGACCAGCUAGCAGACGGUGAUACCGCACAGCCAGCCUGCACUCCAGAGGCAGCCAAUGCGGAGGGAGCAUCAGGUUGCCCAGACUCACGCUGGUGCCAUGGUUCUAGUCAUGGCCAAAGUGACAGCCAACACAGAGCGGCCGUCCCCUGAAUCCUGCUUCUCUGACAAAGUUACCUGAGAGUCCACCUUCUCAGAAGACCCGUGAAUGCUGUCUUGUAACUCACAGAAGACAGCAGUCUGCUCCUUCACCCAGACGAUGGUUCUGAGACUUUAAAGUUUUGAGUGUCAAUUAGGUGCAGACAGAUGCCCAUAACUUCAGCACCUGAGAGGUGGGAGGGUUGCUUCCAGUUCAAGACAAAUCGGAGGAUUUAGAGGAGGAGCGGGGGUUCAU